GACAUAUUUGUAUAUUUUUAGUUGUAUUGUUCUUACUUAUACAUGCUUUAAUUUUAUUUAUUCACUAGGGUUAUACAAAUCUAACGAGCUCAAACAGGAAACAUGGUUUCAAAGUCUAAGUCAAACAAUAUCAAAUGGACAAUAAUUAAGUGCCCAAGACAACCCAAUGGCAACGAUUGUGGGUAAUAUAUGAAGGAAAUUAUUACAUGUUGUGAAGGAGGAACAAUUCUAACUGAUUUUUCUAGUUGCAAAUGUUAACAAUAUCAUGAAAGUCAAAUAAUUGAAGUUAUAGAAAAUUGGUGUUUACAUGUAAUUAGUACAUGCUUAUAAGUUAUGUUAAGGUGAUGUACAUG